AUUGAACGCUGGCGGCAUGCCUUACACAUGCAAGUCGAACGGUAACGCGGGGCAACCUGGCGACGAGUGGCGAACGGGUGAGUAAUAUAUCGGAACGUGCCCAGUAGUGGGGGAUAGCCCGGCGAAAGCCGGAUUAAUACCGCAUACGACCUGAGGGUGAAAGCGGGGGAUCGCAAGACCUCGCGCUAUUGGAGCGGCCGAUAUCGGAUUAGCUAGUUGGUGGGGUAAAAGCCUACCAAGGCGACGAUCUGUAGCUGGUCCGAGAGGACGACCAGCCACACUGGGACUGAGACACGGCCCAGACUCCUACGGGAGGCAGCAGUGGGGAAUUUUGGACAAUGGGCGCAAGCCUGAUCCAGCCAUGCCGCGUGCGGGAAGAAGGCCUUCGGGUUGUAAACCGCUUUUGUCAGGGAAGAAACGCGCUGAGUUAAUACCUUGGCGUAAUGACGGUACCUGAAGAAUAAGCACCGGCUAACUACGUGCCAGCAGCCGCCGUAAAAC
rnacentral:rRNA from 1 species